CGACGAGACCUUCGGGUCUAGUGGCGCACGGGUGCGUAACGCGUGGGAAUCUGCCCUUGGGUUCGGGAUAACAGUUGGAAACGACUGCUAAUACCGGAUGAUGACUUCGGUCCAAAGAUUUAUCGCCCAGGGAUGAGCCCGCGUAGGAUUAGCUAGUUGGUGAGGUAAAAGCUCACCAAGGCGACGAUCCUUAGCUGGUCUGAGAGGAUGAUCAGCCACACUGGGACUGAGACACGGCCCAGACUCCUACGGGAGGCAGCAGUGGGGAAUAUUGGACAAUGGGCGAAAGCCUGAUCCAGCAAUGCCGCGUGAGUGAUGAAGGCCUUAGGGUUGUAAAGCUCUUUUACCCGGGAUGAUAAUGACAGUACCGGGAGAAUAAGCCCCGGCUAACUCCGUGCCAGCAGCCGCGGUAAUACGGAGGGGGCUAGCGUUGUUCGGAAUUACUGGGCGUAAAGCGCGCGUAGGCGGCUUUGUAAGUUAGAGGUGAAAGCCUGGAGCUCAACUCCAGAACUGCCUUUAAGACUGCAUCGCUAGAAUUGUGGAGAGGUGAGUGGAAUUCCGAGUGUAGAGGUGAAAUUCGUAGAUAUUCGGAAGAACACCAGUGGCGAAGGCGACUCAC
rnacentral:rRNA from 1 species